CGUAGGUGCAAGCGUUAAUCGGAAUUACUGGGCGUAAAGCGUGCGCAGGCGGUUAUGUAAGACAGAUGUGAAAUCCCCGGGCUCAACCUGGGAACUGCAUUUGUUGACUGCAUAGCUAGAGUACGGUAGAGGGGGAGUGGAAUUCCGCGUGUAGCAGUGAAAUGCGUAGAUAUGCGGAGGAACACCGAUGGCGAAGGCAAUCCCCUGGACCUGUACUGACGCUCAUGCACGAAAGCGUGGGAGCAAACAGGAUU
rnacentral:rRNA from 1 species